AGUGAACGCUGGCGGUAGGCCUAACACAUGCAAGUCGAACGGCAGCACAGGAGAGCUUGCUCUCUCGGGGGCGAGUGGCGGGCGGGUGAGAAAUACAUAGGAAUCUGCUCAGUCGUGGGGGAUAACGUAGGAAAACUUACGCUACUACCGCAUACGACCUGCGGGAGAAAGGGGGGGAUCGCAAGACCUCUGGCGAGUGGGUGCGCCGAUGUUGGAUUAGCUAGUUAGCGGGGUAAUGGCCCACCAAGGCGACGAUCCGUAGCUGGUCUGAGAGGAUGAUCAGCCACACUGGAACUGAGACACGGUCCAGACUCCUACGGGAGGCAGCAGUGGGGAAUAUUGGACAAUGGGCGCAAGCCUGAGCCAGCCAUACCGCGUGUGUGAAGAAGGCCUUCGGGUUGUAAAGCCCUUUUGUUGGGAAAGAAAUCUUUCAGGCUAAUACCCUGGGAGGAUGACGGUACCCAAAGAAUAAGCACCGGCUAACUUCGUG
rnacentral:rRNA from 1 species